CUGUGUGUGUGUGUGUGUGUGUGUGUGUGUGUGUGUGACUGUGUUUGAUUGUCUGUUUGUGGCCCUGCGACAGACUGGCGUCCUGUCCAGGGUGUACCCCGCGUCACGCUCUAUGACUGCUGGGAAAGGCUUCAGCUCCCCACAACCCUCAAUUGGACGAAGCGGUU